rnacentral:lncRNA from 1 species
CUAUAUAUAUAUAUAGGCUAGGGCUAAGAGGAUAGUAGCACUUGUCCUAUCAAAUUGUUUUUGAUGAUAGAGAUUUCGAAUCGAUGAUCGGAGCCAUUGAAGUUGAUUUAUAGUAUUUGAAAUGUCUAGAAACUAAAUUUCAUAAAUUUUAAAAAUUAUUUACAUAGUGAUCAAAGUGUCGUCAAAUCGACAAUUUUUGACGGCCUAUAUGAGCCGUUUACUUGUUUAAUGGUGUAGAGCAAUCCAAAUUACUUUAAUUUUUCAUAGAAAAUUCUUUAUACUAUUUAGAUAAUGUUUGAUAACUCUGAUUAUGAAUUGAGAAAAUCUAACCUCUAUUUUAAGAAGGUUUUUCAUUUAUGACCGUUCAUUUUUCAACUAUUAAAAUGAACUUGAUAAUGAUUUUUAAAUAUUACAAAAUUUGGUUUCUAAACAUUUCUAAUUGUGUAGAUCAAUUUCAACGAUGCCGAUUAUCAAUUUGAAGUUCUGAUCAUUCAAAAUGACUUGAUAGGACAAUAUCCUCAAUCCUAUUAAUAGGAUAGUAGAUGGACUAUAUAUAUAGAGAGAGAGAGAGAGAGAGAGAGAGAGAGAGAGAGAGAGAAGGGCUGCUGUGUUCUCAGGAGCAUGGAGGCCUCCGUGCUCCUGAGCCGUUUUUGAUGAUGGAAUUUUCGAAUCGAUGAUUGGCUCCGUUAGACUUGAUCUAGGAUAUUUGAAGUUUCUAGAAAAUAAUUUUUGCUAUUUUUUUAUAUCAUUUAUCUAGUGAUCGAAAUGAUUCAAAAUCAAUAAUUUUUAAUGGUUGAUAUUUGCCGUUUUCAAGUUUAACAGUGUAGAAGUAUUCAAAUCAGAUGAAAUUUUGAUACAAAAUUCUUUAUACUAUCUACAACAAGAUCAAUAUUUCUGAUAAAAAAUUUUAGUGCUAUAUCACCACUUUUUAUAGGAUUUUUAUUUUCAGCUGUUAAAAAUUAUUAAUUUUGAAACCUUUCGAUUGUUAGUUAAAUGAUAUCGAAAAAUCGCAAAAAUUAUUUUCUAGAAACUUCAAAUACGCUAGAUCAAGUCUAACAGAGUCAAUCUCGAUUCAAAAAUUCAAUCAUCGAAAACAGCUCAGGAGCACGGAGAGCACAACAGUCCUGCUAUAUAUAUAUAUAUAUAUAUAUAUAUAUAUAUACUAUCGAUAGCACAAAGUGCUUAGUGCUAUCAGUUUUUUAGCCCUUGGAUUGAGAAAUAUAUGGUUAGGAUGAUGUGGGUCCCCUAGAGUUAAGUGGGUGCUUGGUUGAAUAGUAUAAUCUAACGAGUAAAGAUAAUCAAAGGAAUUAAUCUAACGGCAGAAAACUUGAUAGUACCAAGUGUUUGGUGCUAUCGAUAGCAUAGCAGCCGCACUCUAUAUAUAUAUAUAUAUAUAUAUAUAUAUAUAUGUUAAUUGUGUAAGCUACAUUAGCUAUAAUUAUAAAAAAUAGUUAAAAAAAAGAUUUUUUUUAUUAUUUGUUUUAAUA